CUUUUCAAAAAGUCAAUUGAUAUCUCAUAUCUACCGACUCUUUAAAGUCUAUAUUCAAUCUCUCCGUGUUGCGUUUAAUACGCGGCUUAUAGAUUAUAUAGAUCUUUUUUUUUCCUAUAAAUAGAUUAUCAAGUUUUUGGAGUUGUUGUAAUAUUCAGAACAUAUCUAUUUCUUCAUUGUUCAUAUAGGGUACUGAGUUUCUUGGUGUUUAGUGAAAAGGAUAUCUCGGAGAAAUUGAAGACGCAUUGACACGCGGACAAUUUUGGAUAGGAAGCGGAAACAACUGUUAUUGCCCGGGAAAGAAGAAGAAAAGAUGGAAAAGGAAGAACAACAUCUCAAAGUCGAGAAAGAGAUAGAAAAGUCUGAUGAUAUGAAGGAGCAAAAGAAAGACAAGAAGGAUAAAGAAAAGAACAAGGAGAGUGAGGAGGAGUCGGAGGAUGAAACAAAAAAUGUAAUAGACAAGAAGGAGAAAAAAGAGAAAAAGGAUAAAGAAAAGAAGGACAAGAGCAAAGAGAAGUCGGAGGAAGAAACCGAGGAAGAGAAGGAUGAUCAAGAAGGGGAGAAGAAGGAUAAAGAGAAGAAACUUAAGAAGGUUAAGAAAGAGAAAAAGGAAAAAGUGAAGAGCGAGGAGUUGGAGGAAGAAAAGGAUGAUGAAAAGGUGGAGAAGAAACUCAAAAUAGUUAAGAUUGAGAAAAAGGAAAAGGAGAAGAAAGACAAGAGCAAGGAGGAGUCGGAGGAAGAAACGAAUGACGAAAAAGGGGAGAAGAAAGAGAAAAAGAACAAAGGAGAGAAAGACAAGAUCAAAGAGGAGUCAGAAGAAGAGAAGGAUAUUGAGAAAGGGAAGAAGGAUAAAGAGAAGAAAGACAAGAACAAAGAGUUGUCGGAAGAAGAAGAUAAUGAAGAGAAGGAUGAUAAAGUAGGCAAGAAGAAGGAUAAAGAAAAGAAAGUCAAGGCGAAUGCCGCUGAAGUCGCCACAAGAGAGCUAGAAGUUGAGGAAGACAAGAAAGUAUCCGACGAUGAAUCAGAAGAGAAAAGUAAAAGCAAGAAGAAGGGGAAGGAAAGUAAGGAUGAAAAACAAAAGGAUUCAAAAAAGGAUAAAGCUGAGAAGAAGAGAAAACUCGAGGACAAGUAUAAAAGCAAAGAUCUGAGUAAGUUGAAAUCCAAGUUGGAUAAGAUCAAUGCCAAACUGGAAGCUCUUCAGCUGAAAAAAGCAGACAUCCUGAAGACAAUAAAAGAAACAGAAGAUAAGAACUUAGCAGUGGUUGAGAGUCCCAAAGAUGCUGAAUCGAAGGCACACGACUAGUAGUCGCUGAAAGUGAGUAGUAUAUUUUCACAAUACUGUUAUGUAUACUAAUACAGUGUUUGUGUAUCCUUUCUCUUCCACUGUCAUGUAGAAUUGUACUCCUGUCUUAAAUAAGUUAAAAAAUAUAGAUUAUAUCUG
rnacentral:misc_RNA from 1 species